AACGAACGCUGGCGGCAUGCCUAACACAUGCAAGUCGAACGAGACCUUCGGGUCUAGUGGCGCACGGGUGCGUAACGCGUGGGAACCUGCCCUUAGGUUCGGAAUAACUCCCCGAAAGGGGUGCUAAUACCGGAUAAUGUCUUCGGCCCAAAGAUUUAUCGCCUUUGGAUGGGCCCGCGUUGGAUUAGCUAUUUGGUAGGGUAAAAGCCUACCAAGGCGACGAUCCAUAGCUGGUCUGAGAGGAUGAUCAGCCACACUGGGACAGAGACACGGCCCAGACUCCUACGGGAGGCAGCAGUGGGGACUAUGGGACAAUGGGCGAAAGCCUGAUCCAGAAAUGCCGCGAGAGUGAUGUAGGCCUUAGGGUUGUAAAGCUCUUUUACCCGGGAUGAUAAGGACAGCACCGGGAGAAUAAGCACCGGCUAACUCCGU
rnacentral:rRNA from 1 species